GUAUAUAAUUUUUUUCUAAUUUGAUAACCUGAAAAAUGUAUAGACAUUAUUUUAUAUUCAAAUUACAAGGGGGAAUACAUGAAAAACCAUCAGUAGCCUUGCUCCACCCCAUAGGAUCUAACUCUAAAGAACUUGAUAGAUAUGUAUGUUCAGUAAAUGACAUAUGCAUGAUAUCAUACAUAUUAAAUAAAAUAAUGACUAUAAAAAUAUAAGAAAUGUCAUAUCGCUGACAUGGUAUAGUAUAAUUGCUCCUUUGAUAUCACCAUUAUGAUCUACAAAUAUAAUUGCUUUUUUGAUAUCCCUAUGAGAAAGGUAAUUUAAUGAAUUAAACAGUAUAGAUUAAGAAAAAUAUUUAUAGCUUUAUCAAGUGUAGAACUUUUCGCUACACUAUGCCAGAGACAAUUUAUUUAACCAAUUCAGCACCACCUAACUUUUGUGGUACACAUUGCAGCGACCACAACAGAAGGAUCGGUCGUCCUCGUGCCGCAGAUGUGCUUAUAGACAUUGAAGGACGCAUACAGGCACCACUGCCACCGUUGGAGUUUCCAAGAAUAACGGUGUUGGGGGUGGACGUAGACGAACGGGCAGAGUACGGAGAUCGAUUGAAGCGAUUAUGGAAUAAUUGUUAUUACCUGACCAAGAACCAUUGGAUAUUAUCGGCUCAAGAAUUCCAGAGAUAAAAAAAAUCGAGAAUCAAUAUCCAAGAUUUGCCCGACUCAAUUUCAGUAUGAACAAUACCUGUACAAAAUUUUAAUCAGGAGAAUAUUAGCACAACAUAAUCGGUGGGUGGAAGAACGAAUAGUAUAUGAAUGGGAAAAAAGUAAGAUAUAAAGGGAACCUAGCAAAGCACCAUGCUCAUGGAUGUCCUAUCGCUAGAGUGAAAAGGGUGAGUUGAGAGCGGUAGUGGAAGAACUAUAUAUACACGUACCUGUACUGAGGCAGCAGAACGGCGAUAAAACAAAAAGACAUCCAUUAAUCACCGUUGGCAAGCGGCGCACAUCAUCCGCCAUGAAUGCCUGAAUAGAAACUGAAUGUGAUUGUUGCCAUCAAACCCUAGCGGAGCAGUUUCGCUGUGGGAACAGCGGAACAGCCAGGCAAUGGUUGGUGUGGAUGUGCAACGGCACGUGGUCCGGAGGUCCUGACCAGACCUACCGCACAAAGCUUGUCCGCGGCCGUGUCGCCUCUCCGUUUGCAUCGUCUCGCCUCCUCCUUGUCAGCGAACAAUCCAUUCGUCCUCUCAGUCCAAAGCAU
rnacentral:lncRNA from 1 species